CCGCAAGGGGCAAGUAGAGUGGCAAACGGGUGAGUAACACGUGGGUGACCUGCCUUCGAGCGGGGGAUAACGUCCCGAAAGGGACGCUAAUACCGCAUAACAUCCUGCCUUUGAAGAGGUGGAGAUCAAAGCUGGGGAUCGCAAGACCCGGCACUUGAAGAGGGGCCCGCGUCUGAUUAGCUAGUUGGUGGGGUAAUGGCCUACCAAGGCAACGAUCAGUAUCCGGCCUGAGAGGGCGGACGGACACACUGGGACUGAGACACGGCCCAGACUCCUACGGGAGGCAGCAGUGGGGAAUUGUUCGCAAUGGGCGCAAGCCUGACGACGCAACGCCGCGUGGAGGAUGAAGAUUUUCGGAUCGUAAACUCCUGUCGAAUGGGACGAACAGAUUGCGGGUUAACAGCCCGUGGUCCUGACGGUACCGUUAAAGGAAACCCCGGCUAACUCCGUGCCAGCAGCCGCGGUAAUACGGGGGGGGUAAGCGUUGUUCGGAAUUACUGGGCGUAAAGGGCUCGUAGGCGGCCAACUAAGUCAGACGUGAAAUCCCUCAGCUUAACUGGGGAACUGCGUCUGAUACUGGAUGGCUUGGAUCCGGGAGAGGGAUGCGGAAUUCCAGGUGUAGCGGUGAAAUGCGUAGAUAUCUGGAGGAACACCGGUGGCGAAGGCGGCAUCCUGGACCGGUAUUGACGCUGAGGAGCGAAAGCCAGGGGAGCAAACGGG
rnacentral:rRNA from 1 species